CAAUAGCGUAUAUUAAAGUUGUUGCAGUUAAAAAGCUCGUAGUUGAAUUCCAAACGUGGAUUUGCUGGUUCAUACCUAGUAUGUUACUAGUGAUCCUGUUUACAGAGUCGUGAACUUUAGAUGAUCUUAACAAAUUGUCUUUAGUGAUCGGCAUGUUUACUUUGAAAAAAUUGGAGUGCUUAAAGCAGGCUAAUGCCUGAACAGUGGUGCAUGGAAUAAUAGAAUAAGACUUCGGUCUUAUUUUGUUGGUUUUAGAGAUCGAAGUAAUGAUUAAGAGGAACUGACGGGGGCAUCUGUAUACCAGGGUUAGAGGUGAAAUUCUUAGAUCCUUGGUAGACAAACUACUGCGAAAGCAUUUGCCAAGAAUGUUUUCAUUAAUCAAGAACGAAAGUCAGAGGUU
rnacentral:rRNA from 1 species